rnacentral:misc_RNA from 1 species
AGCAGGAUCAUUAACAUAGAUUUUCCACACCUGCUCCUAAGUAGGGGUGGCAGUCUAUUAUAACAAGGGAGAAGGUGAUGCGAUCUUCCUUCGUCGCUUCCGACGUAAGCAUCCCAUUCAAACCGACUAGGGUUAACUUGCCAUGUGACUCCUCAGUUUGAAGGUUUUGGACAAAAGUUGUGACCUGUCCAAGCCAGGCGUAGUAGGUUUACAUCUCUGAAAACUCUGCCUUUCACCAUUAAACCAGGUGGCAUUGAUGUUCAGGACGUUACUCAAACGCCAAAAACCAUCUUUUGAACUGCUUCUACCAGAUGUGGUUUUAGCGGUAGAAAGGUGGUUUUGUCGCCAAUCAUGGAUGUCUUGGUUCACAUUGUUAUGAAGAACGGAGCAGGCACCGAUAUUUUUGGGGAAUCACAGAGUUACGUGAUGCCAGAUUUAUUGGAAGACUGGCUUUGAACGCAAACUGCAGAGUUGUUCAUCUCUCGAUGUUCAGCAUUGUUUGAAUCUCAGAAAUGUUCGCCACAGAAAAUGGUGGUAGCCUACUGCAAAGUUCGCUUGCCGCUUGAUAUGAGUCUAGCCUGGUUCACAUUCAACCCGUCCUGAAGGAUGUUAGAAUAAACUCUGAGGGCAAAUUCAAUUCCUAAAGGACUGGUGACCGUGAAAGCUUGGCUGGAUGCAUUCCACGAGUGCUCUUGGCAACAGCCUCGGUCGUGUUUUAAGGCAAACUAUUCUGAUGAUUCGAAAACCCACCUACCUAACUUAAGCAUAUUAGUCGGCGGUGGAAAUCAUGGUAAGACGAUAGUCUUAGUAACGGCGAGUGAAAUGAUAGACCCGAAGAGGGAUUUUGCUCUAAGAGCCACACCAGACUGACGUUUUUUCCAGUCCGUGGCAGUUGCAGGGUAUUGUUUGGAACAACAACCCGGCUGUUCGAGUGUUGUUCAAGUGGUGUUCGCUCAUGCCAAAACCUUGAUCUGGAAUGUUUCGAUUCACAAGGUGAAAUGCCUGUUGUGAACUGGCUGAGAUAGGACUAAACUUGUCGACACGCAGCUGUGCGUUGCUGUCUCCUCUAAGUAAAGCUGCUUGAUCAUGCAGCUUGAAGGUCUUCGAUGUAUCUCAAUGAAGACCCUAAUAACAAUGUGAAACCGAUAAGUGUAACAAGUAGAGCGAUCGAAAUGUGCAAAGUACUCUGUAAAGAGAGUGAAAAGUACCUGAAGUGAUUGGCGAUUAGAAGGGCUGGCUACCCUCCAAGAGUAAGCAAGCGUGCUCUGAACUAGUUUGCCCUGGUUUAGACACGUUUCUUCGGUUGGCUGAGCGUAGGCGUACGCUCAUGAGUGCUGACUAGCGUCCCACGUGCUGGAAUGUGUAUUGGAUGACCUUAGUGCUGUGGACUACGAGCCUAGUGGGGAAAACGUGAGCCAUCCCACAUUGGAUAGGUGCUCGUUCUCCAUAGUACAAACUGGCGGUAAGGACACCGAUGCUGUGGUUUGAAUUUCACCCUGGGAUUGCGACUGCCCCUAACCCGGCGUAGACCUAAACAUGAGCUUUGGUCACAAACUGUCGCUUCCAGUUUCCCUGACGUAAAAGUGAGCUAGCCGUCCGCCCGUCUUGAAACACGGAUCCAGGAGUUCGUUGUCGAUGUAAAGCGUGAAGAUUGCGCUCGUGAUAAGAUAAGCUAACCUGUUGGAGCAGGUAGCAAUGCAAGGUGAAAGCAAACUUAUCUCGAGCAAAGUCUAAGCGCUGAUACUUGAGGGAGUAGUCAACCCUUCUGUAUCUACCGGAUCUUUACUUAGUCGUUUGAUGGACAGGGAUUUGAGUGCGAACAUUCACAACGUGACCCGAAAGGUGGUGAUCUAUACCCAACUACAGUGAAGCCGUGGGAAACUACGGUGGAAGCUGGUCGCUGUACUGACGUGCAAAUCGUUUGUCUGAGUUUGGCAUAGGGGUGAAAGGCUCAUCGAACCAUCUAGUAGCUGGUUUUCUU